rnacentral:rRNA from 1 species
GACGAACGCUGGCGGCGUGCUUAACACAUGCAAGUCGAACGGAAAGGCCCUGCUUUUGUGGGGUGCUCGAGUGGCGAACGGGUGAGUAACACGUGAGUAACCUGCCCUUGACUUUGGGAUAACUUCAGGAAACUGGGGCUAAUACCGGAUAGGAGCUCCUGCUGCAUGGUGGGGGUUGGAAAGUUUCGGCGGUUGGGGAUGGACUCGCGGCUUAUCAGCUUGUUGGUGGGGUAGUGGCUUACCAAGGCUUUGACGGGUAGCCGGCCUGAGAGGGUGACCGGCGACAUUGGGACUGAGAUACGGCGCAGACUCCUACGGGAGGCAGCAGUGGGGAAUAUGGCACAAUGGGCGGAAGCCUGAUGCAGAAACGCCGCGUGCGGGAAGACGGCCUUCGGGUUGUAAACCGCUUUAGCCUGUGACGAAGCGUGAGUGACGGUAAUGGGUGAAGAAGCACCGGCUAACUACGU